UUUCAUUCGUGAAUGGUAUGUAUACAAUAACUAUCAAUAAAGACGACGAUAACUAACUUUUACAUCAAGUGAAAAGACCAGGGAAUCGUGGAAUCUACCAGAAACCACCAGUUUCAGUUAAGGAUUAAGAUAUUGUAACUACGUUGUUAAGCCAGCAAAUGUGUUUGUUGGCUUAACAAUCUCCGUUUUAUAUAAUGCUUUAUUGGCUGUCCGGGCAGAUAAAACAUAGUGAAACCAACUCCAAUUUUGGCCAGGACACAAGGAGUCUCUCCAGGUACAUCCUGCCUCGACUCCUCUUCAUCCUCCUAGAGAGCACCUAAGAAAAUUAGGAAGAACGAUGACACUAUGGCUCGAUUUAACCUUCUGGAUCAGCGCAGAAAAGAGGGAAGAGAGACAUGUCAUGCUCACUUCAAAGUUUGAUGAUGAUAUUGCAAGAUUUUGUCAUACCAUAGGUGAACUGAUCCGCAACUGCCACAACUUAAAAGGUCUAGCCAAGUUCAAAAUCCAUCAGCUUCUAUUUGAGAUGGGCAAAGAAAAUGCUGAAGACACUGUUUGAAUACACACACCCCGAUGUGGCUAAAGUAAUCUUUUUCAGUGACUAAAUAACUUUUGUUUGUUUGUGCAUUUUGUACUGUAGUUGUACUGUUCGAUUACAAAGUUGAAUCUAUUGUCAGUGAACAAGUACAGUACAAAGAAAUGCAGCUUGCAUUUAACCAGAAGUGCAAAUAGGACUAUUUCCUAGUAUUAAGUAUAUGUAUACACGUAGUAUGUAUAGAUGUGCAAUUAAUGCAAAUGCACUACAUAUGGCAAUUCUAAAUGUGCAAUUGAAGCAAAUAGAAAGCAGAACAUUUAUGAGUAUUAAGUAUAUAACCCUAACCCUAUUCCAUCAUCCAUCUUCUUCCGCUUAUCCGGGGCCGGGUCGCGGGGGCAGCAGUCUAAGCAGGGAUACCCAGACUUCCCUCUCCCCAGACACUUCCUCUAGCUCUUCCGGGGGGACACCGAGGCGUUCCCAGGCCAGCCGGGAGACAUAGUCCCUCCAGCGUGUCCUAGGUCUUUCCCGGGGUCUCCUCCCGGUGGGACGGGACCGGAACACCUUCCCAGGAAGGCGUUCCGGAGGCAUCCGAAACAGAUGCCCAAGCCACCUCAGCUGACCCCUCUCGAUGUGGAGGAGCAGCGGCUCUACUCUGAGCUCCUCCCGGGUGACCGAGCUUCUCACCCUAUCUCUAAGGGAUCGCUCAGCCACCCUGCGGAGAAAGCUCAUUUCGGCCGCCUGUAUCCGGGAGCUCUUUCUUCACCACGACAGACCGAUACAUCGACUGCAUUACUGCAGAAGCUGCACCGAUCCGUCUGUCAAUCUCCCGUUCCAUCCUUCCCUCACUCGUGAACAAGACCCCUAGAUACUUAAACUCCUCCACUUGAGGCAGGCACUCUCCACCAACCUGAAGUGGGCAAGCCACCCUUUUCCGACUGAGGACCAUGGCCUCGGAUUUGGAGGUGCUGAUUCUCAUCCCCACCGCUUCACACUCGGCUGCAAACCCUAUUAUUAAUCUAAUAUCUGCUUAUGAUUUAACCCUCCAAAUAUUUUCAGAAUAACAAUUAACAAUUGCUUACUUUGAAAGGGCUUCAUCAGAUUUACAUGCAAUGGAAAAGCAGCAUCUCCAAACGAUGACAUGGGGAUGGUGACUCCUAUCCCGGGAAUGUUUGACAUUAACAACGCAGACCUGCAGAAGCAUAAAUCAGGCUUUAGCCAGCUCUGCUUACGCGGUCCUGCAAAAAGAAGCAGGAUUGUAGUGAACUUCAAUCAUCUUAAUUUCACUGGUCAUUGAAAAUCGUCACGCCCUCACUCCUGGUUUUCUUCGCCAGAUUGGGUUAUUUAGUUUUCACUACGCCCUCCUAUUUCCAUUAAUUUGAUUGGCCAUCGAAACAUUUAGUCUCUGUGGAGACCGUAUUCGUCCUGUUUUGAUCCAUAAUCUGAAAAAUGUUGAUCCAUAAUCUUUUAUUUAUUUAACACCUUAAACGUAAUUUGCUCCAACGGACUUGAGUCCAGUCAAAUUAAGGACUUGUCAAGUCGCUAUAAUGUCAAAGCGCAAGGCAGAUGAUCGCCAGAGGAACUAGCCAAUGCAGCAGUGUGCACAAAGUGCAAAUAAAUUUGUCGACACAAGCUAAGACAAAAGCAGAGAUGAAAUCAGUAGAGACUGAAAAGAGUGAGACUGAAAAAACGUUUCGGUACCAACUUUAGCCUGCCUGCUGAGUGUGAACUGUUGAAAUCUUGGUACCGAAACAUUAUUCAAUUCUUAUUGCAUGUUACGCAGACUGGGUGCGUGAGUUAAUUUUGUUUACAUUAUUAUAUCCAAACAAGGAUCUUGCCAUUGUUCAGCGGACAUUGUUUCUUGAACUUUGCAAUAUAACAUCAAUUUAAACUUCUUGUGAAUCUGAAUCCCAACCAGCC
ensembl:lncRNA